UAGGGAAUAUUGGACAAUAGGUGAGAGCCUGAUCCAGCCAUGCCGCGUGCAGGAAGAAGGCGUUAUGCGUUGUAAACUGCUUUUGCCAGGGGAUAAAAUGAGCGUGCGCGCUUAAUUGAAGGUACCUGGUGAAUAAGCCACGGCUAACUACGUGCCAGCAGCCGCGGUAAUACGUAGGUGGCAAGCGUUGUCCGGAUUUAUUGGGUUUAAAGGGUGCGUAGGUGGCCCUGUAAGUCAGUGGUGAAAUAUCUCAGCUUAACUGAGAGGGUGCCAUUGAUACUGCAGGGCUUGAGUACAGAUGAGGUAGGCGGAAUUGACGGUGUAGCGGUGAAAUGCAUAGAUAUCGUCAAGAACACCGAUAGCGAAGGCAGCUUACCAAGCUGUAACUGACACUGAGGCACGAAAGUGUGGGGAUCAAACAGGAUUAGAUACCCACGUAGUCCCUGAGCGGGCUGGCAAGGCGCAU
rnacentral:rRNA from 1 species